GAUGAACGCUGGCGGCGUGCCUAAUACAUGCAAGUCGAGCGAACAGAUGAGGAGCUUGCUCCUCUGACGUUAGCGGCGGACGGGUGAGUAACACGUGGAUAACCUACCUAUAAGACUGGGAUAACUUCGGGAAACCGGAGCUAAUACCGGAUAAUAUAUUGAACCGCAUGGUUCAAUAGUGAAAGACGGUUUUGCUGUCACUUAUAGAUGGAUCCGCGCCGCAUUAGCUAGUUGGUAAGGUAACGGCUUACCAAGGCAACGAUGCGUAGCCGACCUGAGAGGGUGAUCGGCCACACUGGAACUGAGACACGGUCCAGACUCCUACGGGAGGCAGCAGUAGGGAAUCUUCCGCAAUGGGCGAAAGCCUGACGGAGCAACGCCGCGUGAGUGAUGAAGGUCUUCGGAUCGUAAAACUCUGUUAUUAGGUAAGAACAAAUGUGUAAGUAACUAUGCACGUCUUGACGGUACCUAAUCAGAAAGCCACGGCUAACUACGUG
rnacentral:rRNA from 1 species